rnacentral:rRNA from 1 species
UACGUAGGGUGCGAGCGUUGUCCGGAAUUACGGGGCGUAAAGAGCUCGUAGGUGGUUUGUCGCGUUGUCCGUGAAAACUCACAGCUCAACUGUGGGCGUGCGGGCGAUACGGGCAGACUGGAGUACUGCAGGGGAGACUGGAAUUCCUGGUGUAGCGGUGGAAUGCGCAGAUAUCAGGAGGAACACCGGUGGCGAAGGCGGGUCUCUGGGCAGUAACUGACGCUGAGGAGCGAAAGCGUGGGGAGCGAACAGG